rnacentral:ncRNA from 1 species
UGAGAUGCUAUGAAAGGGAAGAGUACUGUAGAUUCUGUCUUCAGAGAAGAAAUGUCAUUGGCUGAGAGCAUUUCUGAUGUGGCUAUAGGAAAACUAACCCUAGAGCAGUAAUUUAGUAGUCUUAGACGAAAAAUUACCGGGUAGCAACGUUAAUGCUAAUAGAGUGGAUAACAGAUCCAUUAGGGUGGAACCACGGGAACAACCUCUCGUCCCUACG